GGGGCCGUAGCUCAGUUGGUAGAGCGCAUCGUUCGCAAUGAUGAGGUCAGGGGUUCGAUUCCCCUCGGCUCCA
rnacentral:tRNA from 3 species